rnacentral:rRNA from 1 species
UACGGAGGGGGCUAGCGUUGUUCGGAAUGACUGGGCGUAAAGCGCGCGUAGGCGGGCUGGAAAGUCAGGGGUGAAAUCCCGGGGCUCAACCCUGGAAUUGCCUUUGAGACUCCCAGCCUUGAGUUCGAGAGAGGUGAGUGGAAUUCCGAGUGUAGAGGUGAAAUUCGUAGAUAUUCGGAGGAACACCAGUGGCGAAGGCGGCUCACUGGCUCGACACUGACGCUGAGGUGCGAAAGCGUGGGGAGCAACAGG